AACAAACACUGGAUUGCACUUAAAGAGACAUCCAAUAAGCUAAAGAACUAAAACAACUACUACAAUUCAAAGUUGUCUUUCUUGCUUCUAGUGGCCUGUCCGUACGGAUCUGCCAACCGGUGACCAGCAGGCUGAGAGCAAGCCUUGAAGGACUCCCAAACGGCCUCCCUUCAGUGCCACGUGAAUGCAAGUGUCCGAGGACAGACAAGGUAGAUCUAGGCAAGCAGAUCUGCGUGCGUCGCUUUUGCUUGGCCUUGCUCGCAGGCUGGGAUAGAGC
rnacentral:lncRNA from 1 species